rnacentral:tRNA from 1 species
AAAACUAGUUUAUUUAAAAUUUUUGAUUGCAAGUCAAAAGAUGAGUAUCAUUCGUUUUU